rnacentral:pre_miRNA from 1 species
AAUAAGUAUAAUUAUACACUCUCUAUAUUCAACGUUUAACGAUUCGUCUUAUUUUAAAAAAAAUAUGAUUAGUAUUUUUUAUUGUUAUUAGAUGAUAAAACAUAAAUAGUUCUUUAUGUGUGACCUUUUUUAUUUUUUUAUAAUUUUUUUAAAUAAGACGAACGGUCAAAUAUUGGACAAGAUGCACUUAUU